AUUGAACGCUGGCGGCGUGCUUUACACAUGCAAGUCGGACGAGUGGCGAACGGGUGAGUAACGCAUCGGAACGUACCGAGUGAUGGGGGAUAACUACCCGAAAGGAUAGCUAAUACCGCAUAUUAUUCGAGCGGCCGAUGUUGGAUUAGCUGGUUGGCGGGGUAAAGGCCCACCUAGGCGACGAUAAGUAGCGGGUCUGAGAGGAUGACCCGCCACACUGGGACGGAGCCACGGCCCAGACUCCUACGGGAGGAAGCAGUGGGGAAUUUUGGACAAUGGGCGCAAGCCUGAUCCAGCCAUGCCGCGUGUCGGAAGAAGGCCUUCGGGUUGUAAAGGACUUUUGGCAGGGAAGCGGUACCUGCAGAAUAAGCACCGGCUAACUACGUGCCAGCAGCCGCGGUAAUAC
rnacentral:rRNA from 1 species